UACGAAGGGAGCUAGCGUUGUUCGGAAUCACUGGGCGUAAAGCGCACGUAGGCGGAUGUGUCAGUCAGGGGUGAAAUCCCGGAGCUCAACUCCAGAACUGCCUUUGAUACUGAGGAUCUUGAGUCCGGGAGAGGUGAGUGGAACUCCGAGUGUAGAGGUGAAAUUCGUAGAUAUUCGGAAGAACACCAGUGGCGAAGGCGGCUCACUGGCCCGGUACUGACGCUGAGGUGCGAAAGCGUGGGGAGCAAACAGG
rnacentral:rRNA from 1 species